rnacentral:rRNA from 1 species
AGAGUUUUAUCCUGGCUCAGGAUGAACGCUGGCGGCGUGCCUAAUACAUGCAAGUCGAACGAAAGUUCUUUAUCACCGAGUGCUUGCACUCACCGAUAAAGAGUUGAGUGGCGAACGGGUGAGUAACACGUGGGCAACCUGCCCAAAAGAGGGGGAUAACACUUGGAAACAGGUGCUAAUACCGCAUAACCAUAGUUACCGCAUGGUAACUAUGUAAAAGGUGGCUAUGCUACCGCUUUUGGAUGGGCCCGCGACGCAUUAGCUAGUUGGUGGGGUAAAGGCUUACCAAGGCAAUGAUGCGUAGCCGAACCGAGAGGUUGAUCGGCCACAUUGGGACUGAGACACGGCCCAAACUCCUACGGGAGGCAGCAGUAGGGAAUCUUCCACAAUGGGCGAAAGCCUGAUGGAGCAACGCCGCGUGGGUGAAGAAGGUCUUCGGAUCGUAAAACCUUGUUGUUAGAGAAGAAAGUGCGUGAGAGUAACUGUUCACGUUUCGACGGUAUCUAACCAGAAAGCCACGGCUAACUACGUGCCAGCAGCCGCGGUAAUACGUAGGUGGCAAGCGUUAUCCGGAUUUAUUGGGCGUAAAGGGAACGCAGGCGGUCUUUUAAGUCUGAUGUGAAAGCCUUCGGCUUAACCGGAGUAGUGCUUUGGAAACUGGGAGACUUGAGUGCAGAAGAGGAGAGUGGAACUCCAUGUGUAGCGGUGAAAUGCGUAGAUAUAUGGAAGAACACCAGUGGCGAAAGCGGCUCUCUGGUCUGUAACUGACGCUGAGGUUCGAAAGCGUGGGUAGCAAACAGGAUUAGAUACCCUGGUAGUCCACGCCGUAAACGAUGAAUGCUAAGUGUUGGAGGGUUUCCGCCCUUCAGUGCUGCAGCUAACGCAAUAAGCAUUCCGCCUGGGGAGUACGACCGCAAGGUUGAAACUCAAAGGAAUUGACGGGGGCCCGCACAAGCGGUGGAGCAUGUGGUUUAAUUCGAUGAUACGCGAGGAACCUUACCCGGGCUCAAACGCAGGAGGGAUGUUUUUGAAAGGAGGCAGCCAGCAAUGGUCUCCUGCGAGGUGCUGCAUGGUUGUCGUCAGCUCGUGCCGUGAGGUGUCGGCUUAAGUGCCAUAACGAGCGCAACCCCUACCUACAGUUGCCAUCGCGUGAUGGCGGGCACUCUGUGGGGACUGCCUGCGCAAGCAGUGAGGAAGGCGGGGAUGACGUCAAAUCAGCACGGCCCUUACGUCCGGGGCGACACACGUGUUACAAUGGCAGGUACAGCGGGAAGCCACCCGGCGACGGGGCGCGGAACCCGAAAACCUGUCUCAGUUCGGAUUGGAGUCUGCAACCCGACUCCAUGAAGCUGGAUUCGCUAGUAAUCGCGCAUCAGCCACGGCGCGGUGAAUACGUUCCCGGGCCUUGUACACACCGCCCGUCA